CGCAAUGCUAGGUCAGGCGGGAUAAGCCGCUA
rnacentral:rRNA from 1 species